rnacentral:misc_RNA from 1 species
UGGCCAGACCAGACAGCAGACGAGAGUGGACUCUGGUCAGCCGCAGUGCAAGACUGUCAGUCAGUAGUAUGUGGAAACUGCUGGUCAUCGCUGCUGUUUGUGUGCAGCUGUGCUGUGCACAGUACCCGAGAUACCUUCGUUUCCCGGUUGGCAGAGGCGAUGACACCAAAUGUCAUGACAACCAGGUUGACAAGAAGUACAACAUCGGCGAUGUCUGGAGCUCUCCAUUCUCUGGCUGUAAACAGAGUCACUGCGUCAAGGACAACGGCGUCCUUUACAUUGACAGAUACCAGUGUCCGUCGGUGAGAAAGCAGGUGGACUUCAAGAAGCUGAAGGCCAACAAUCUGUUCUGCCGCGAGGCUCGGGGAGACAGGAGGAAGGAAUUUCCUGACUGCUGUGCCCGCCUUGUCUGUAAACACUACGUGG